rnacentral:rRNA from 1 species
UACGUAGGGUGCAAGCGUUGUCCGGAAUUAUUGGGCGUAAAGAGCUCGUAGGCGGUCUGUUGCGUCCGCUGUGAAAACUCGGGGCUUAACCCCGAGCCUGCAGUGGAUACGGGCAGACUAGAGGUAGGUAGGGGAGAAUGGAAUUCCCGGUGUAGCGGUGAAAUGCGCAGAUAUCGGGAGGAACACCGGUGGCGAAGGCGGUUCUCUGGGCCGAUACUGACGCUGAGGAGCGAAAGCGUGGGGAGCGAACAGG